UUUCAUCCACUGGGCAUUCAGGAACCACAGCAAACUUUCCUUCCGGGACCAUCAGACACAACUGGACAACGCAGCCUGGACAACGAAAGCGGAAGCCGGCCCUCGGAGGACAGGUCGUUCCUGAGCGUAGGCUACGUCGUGGUUCCUGACCUCGAGGUUCUAGAAUCCGAGAGGUGAGAGGGGCCAUAAGUGUCACACUGGUGUCCUGGCUGGGGGCCUGGAGAGGAGGACAGCCUCCAACAGCUGCCACCUGCCCCAAAUGCCCACCUGAAAUGUGUCUCUCAUCCUGGCCUCGCCUUGUCAUAACCGUGGACUCCGAGGUGGCUCCCACACUGGCAUGGGUGGUUCCCUGUCUGGGGGUGGAGGAGGGACCAGCAGAAGUGUGGUCCCUGGGAGGCAGCUGUGAGGGGUCCUCUGAGACCUGAAGGCCCAGGGGGCCUCAGAAGCCUCUGUCCCCCAGGCAGGAGUGACAGCUGCUGACCUGGCCAUGGCCCCAGUCAUUCGGCUGGCUCUUCCAAUGCACCUGCUACAUGCAGGCACUGUGCUGGGUGACAAGAAGGAGAAGGUCUGCCCCUUGAUCGAUGUCACUAAAGGGAAGGGACAGCCCUACCCCCUGGGAUACGGGAUACAAGGUCAGCCCUGGGGCCAAGGCUGAGAGCCUGGCACGCGGUAGGGUUUCAGCAAAGGUUUGCUGAGUGGAUACACGACAAGGCUAAAAAGCACAGACUUUGAAGCCAGAGGGGCCUGAGUCCAAGAUCCUGAUUCUUCCCUUUCGGGGCUGGGUGGCCCGAGGAUAUCACUUCACCUCUCCGGGUCCCAGGUUCCUAUUCUGUGAAAUGCAAAGCUUAAUGUUAGUUUGGUAGGAUUUUUGUGAGGGCUCGCGGGGAGACGGCAUUCGCAAGGUGCUUGGCUCCUAGUAGGAGCUCAGCAGAUGUGCUCCAGCUGGCCCCACCCCCUGGCCGCAGGGCUCCAGGCUCACCUGUGGGCGGCUGAGGCCCCGCCCUCCUCCUCCUGGCAGCUCCAGCCCCCAGCAGGUGACUGCAGAGGCUCUGGGUGCCAGCCCUGGGAGCGUGGGAACUUCCUGCCGCCCUGUUUGUCUUGGGCUGCCGGGGAGGGGCUGCCACCCUCUGUCCGCUCCAGCGAGGCUCCUGCCAGGUCGCCCAGCGUGAAAAGGAAGAAUUGUUCCCGUGACCUUUGCUUUCCUUGUCAGAGGUGAUUUCAGCAAGUACCGCCCCUCUCCCCUAAAAGCCAGGCCAGCCUUGGUUCCCACCACCUAAGGGACACCUAUGUACCUGGGCAGGCAGGGCCACUGGGAGAACUGGCAGCCUUGCCCCUGCUAGCGGGCGUGAGGCCCCACGCCCCUCUGUCCCCACCCCUGAGCCAGGAGUUGGCCAGGGUUCCCUCGUUGUGUCAAUAUCCCCCCACCCCUCACUCGGGCCUCAUUUCUCUUUGCUGAGUGAAUACACAAGACUGAAAAUCACAGACUUUGAAGGCAGGACCUUGCAUGGGACCCAGCCCAAGGUCAGAGGCUCAGUCAAGCUCCCCACCCCCCCAGAGCAAGGCACCCUCUCCGCCUCCUGCUUCUACUCCACCCUGCUCUGGGAGGGGUUAGUGCCAGUCUCUAGAGGUGGGCCACAGGUCUCUACCUGGUUAGAGCAGCUUUCUCCACCGAGUUUUUAUCACUCCGCCUCACCCUCCUCCACCCCUGGCCAUGGUUCCCAGCCCGGCACCGACUGCGCUUUCCCUGCUUUGACACGGCUGGUGGCCCCAGCGUGUCACCCUGGCAGCCGCGGAGCCUUCUGGAGAUGAGCCAUGUGGUGGCCACUGCAGGCAGCACAGCCGAGGUUAAGGGCAGCCUCGGAUCACGGAGGCUCCGUUUCCGAUUUUCCAGAAGAUGCUGAUUGUUAAUGAUCGUUGUUCUUUCCUUCUGGGGCAUAAAAAAGCAGGGUCAGCUCACAACCGGAAAAGCAGCAGGUCAAGGUUCCCAGAGUAUGAAAUGUCAGCCUCCGGCGGCAAUGACAUUCACCCAGAGGCACUAAAAAUAGACGCCAAACAGAAGCAUCAAGUCUCUGGAGGCUGGAGAAAUAAGGGAGGCAGCGUGCAGGCCCUGGACCUUGUCAAUCUGCGGGAACAUUCGGAGCCUGAGCCCCAGCGUUCCCACGCCACGUCAGCUGCCAAGGAGGGGCCCCGACGGCAGUGUCCCCGCCUGUCCCAGACCACCCGCCCGCAAAGGCCCGAGUCUCCCAUUGCACGACUUGGCAAACCAAGCCCACCAAAGACCCUCACGGCCGCCCAGUCCCAGAGCACGGGGUCUGGGGUGGGGCGCACUGUUUCCUGGGCUCCUCGCAGGCCCCCCUCCCCUUGUGGUGUGGGGUGGGGCCGCCAGCCCACCAAGGCAGGGGGCGCAGAGCCUCUGCGGGCUGUUUGUCAGGAAGAUCCACUGCUUCUGGAAGCCUCCCUCGAGGGCUGGGGUGGCACAGCUGGGGCAGGAGGCGAGCCUGGGUGGGGCCCCCUUUGUGCCCACGCCUGCACUCUGUCCCCUCUGGGCCUCCCGCUUGGCCCAACCAGGGGCCUGAAAUUCCUGUGACCCCCACUUUCCCAAAUCGUCUCUGCACCCGGCUGGCCCCCUCACUCUGACCAUCCUGCACCCCCACGCCGACCCUCCGACCCUCCAUCCCCACUGCCUCCUCACUGGUCCCUGGUCAGCCCUGGGUCAUCCGGCUUUGAACUUGAACCCUGGGAAGCCCAUCUCUGCUCCAGCUUCUUGUUUCCCAGCCUCCAGCACAGCCAGCAUGGCUGGACCCAGGGGCCUCUCUGCCCUCCUGUCUUUUCUCCCUUCCUGGGAAGGAUUGGGGGACCCCCUGCCCCAGGCUCCCAAGGAGCCAGCAGCCUGAAAAGACCCCCCUCUGAGGUUUUGUGUAACUGUGUGGGACCCCCCCCAGCACCCGCUCAGGACAGAGCCCACUGCUCUUGAUGGCCUGGCAAUUUCCUUCCCACCACAGAGGCGGAAAGCCCUCCCACCCGAGGGAGCAGACCCCCAUCUGCCCCACACAGUAUGGGGGUGUCUGGAAGGUCCCUGCUCCCCCAACCACCGCCCCCCAGAGGAAGGAUGUGCCAUCUGCCACAUGCAGCAAGAGCAGCCCCUGGCCCACCCUCUAGACAAAACCCACGCAAGCCCAAGGGCCCAGAAAAUAAAGCCCAAGUCUUUACCAAGGGCCAAUCAGAGCCUUUCCUACGUGCCUCUGACGGGAGAGACACGGAGUUUCUCAGGCUCAUCUGACCUCAGAAGUGCUUUCCCCGGAGCAUCUUAUGGGACCAUGGUUCCUGGGAGCCCUUUAUGAGAAACACCCAAAUUGUUCCUGAAGCCCUGGAGCACUGGGUUCCUGCGCUCGGGCCCAGCCCGGUGUGUGCUUGGGGUCAGAGGAGGAUGCUGAGAAAGCUCCAGGUACCAGGCAUGGGCUCCCGGCUUCCCUCACCCACACUCGGUGCCUAAGGUCUGCAGUUGC